CGUAGGUGAACCUGCGGAAGGAUCAUUGUCGGCGACCCGUGAAAACACGACCGGAGCACACGUGAUGGAACGCUGCUGGAGCGGGAGAUCCGCACUAGCCAACCGGCCACUGUCCUCGUGCCGCUUGGCGCGUUGGCCGCGGGCCGAUCACGGCGUGGGAUGACGCCAAGUAACAUGCGAUGCGGAGGCGGCGGSGGCGGCUUGUCGGAGCGUGCCGCUCGSUGCCGACGCGAUGGAAGUCRACAUGACUCUCGGCAACGGAUAUCUCGGCUCUCGCAUCGAUGAAGAACGUAGCGAAAUACGAUACGUGGUGUGAAUUGCAGAAUCCCGCGAACCAUCGAGUUUUUGAACGCAAGUUGCGCCCGAGGGUCCUGCCCGAGGGCACGCCUGCCUCAUGGGCGUAAUAAGCCCAUCGACGCUCAGAGUGUCUCGGCCUUGUCACAUGUGACGGGCGCGGUCAGCUGCGGAAGAUGGCCUUCCGAGCCGGAGU
rnacentral:misc_RNA from 1 species